AGGAAUAUUGGUCAAUGGACGAGAGUCUGAACCAGCCAAGUAGCGUGCAGGAAGACGGCCCUAUGGGUUGUAAACUGCUUUUAUAAGGGAAUAAAGUUAGUCUCGUGAGACUUUUUGCAUGUACCUUAUGAAUAAGGACCGGCUAAUUCCGUGCCAGCAGCCGCGGUAAUACGGAAGGUCCGGGCGUUAUCCGGAUUUAUUGGGUUUAAAGGGAGCGUAGGCCGGAGAUUAAGCGUGUUGUGAAAUGUAGACGCUCAACGUCUGCACUGCAGCGCGAACUGGUUUCCUUGAGUACGCACAAAGUGGGCGGAAUUCGUGGUGUAGCGGUGAAAUGCUUAGAUAUCACGAAGAACUCCGAUUGCGAAGGCAGCUCACUGGAGCGCAACUGACGCUGAAGCUCGAAAGUGCGGGUAUCGAACAGGAUUAGAUACCCUGGUAGUCCGCACGGUAAACGAUGGAUGCCCGCUGUUGGUCUGAAUAGGUCAGCGGCCAAGCGAAAGCAUUAAGCAUCCCACCUGGGGAGUACGCCGGCAACGGUGAAACUCAAAGGAAUUGACGGGGGCCCGCACAAGCGGAGGAACAUGUGGUUUAAUUCGAUGAUACGCGAGGAACCUUACCCGGGCUUGAAUUGCAGAGGAAGGAUUUGGAGACAAUGACGCCCUUCGGGGCCUCUGUGAAGGUGCUGCAUGGUUGUCGUCAGCUCGUGCCGUGAGGUGUCGGCUUAAGUGCCAUAACGAGCGCAACCCCUCUCCUUAGUUGCCAUCAGGUCAUGCUGGGCACUCUGGGGACACUGCCACCGUAAGGUGUGAGGAAGGUGGGGAUGACGUCAAAUCAGCACGGCCCUUACGUCCGGGGCUACACACGUGUUACAAUGGCAGGUACAGAGAGACGGUCCCUUGCAAAAUGGAUCAAAUCCUUAAAGCCUGUCUCAGUUCGGACUGGGGUCUGCAACCCGACCCCACGAAGCUGGAUUCGCUAGUAAUCGCGCAUCAGCCAUGGCGCGGUGAAUACGUUCCCG
rnacentral:rRNA from 1 species